CAUCAAGAAUAGGCAAUUGAAACUGAGUUUUUUCAGGAUAAACAAAUAUAUUGGGGAUACUAAAAAUAAGAAAUUUCCUAGUACAAGAUAAAUGUAUCAGUGAAAUAUCCAUUAGAGAUAACAUUUAUAGCAGAAAGUAAACCAGUUGGAGACUUUGAAAGAAAAAACAUCUAAUCACCUGUUGUUGUUUUUUUUUAAGAUUUUAUUUAUUUAUUUAUUUGACAGAAAGAGACACAUCGAGAGAGGGAACACAAGCAGGGGGAGUGGGAGAGGGAGAAGCAGGCUCCCUGUGGAGCAGAGAACCCGACACGGGGUUUGAUCCCAGGACCCUGGGAUCGUGACCUGAGCUGAAGGCAGACGCUUAACGACUGAGCUACCCAGCACUAUCUUUUUCUUGAUCAUUUGAGAACAAGCUGCAGACCCUCAAAUACAGGUCCUUUUCUUGAGAUUGAGAGGAAAUCAAGCAAGAGUUAUGACUGAACUCAAACAGAUGUGGAAGAUACAGAGCAGUGCCUAGAACAUACUCUCAUAGAUGUUCAUUAAACAUUUGAAGAAUGGAGGACCAAAUGAACUGUAACGAUCUGGGAAAUGUUGAAAUCAACAAGAACUUAAAAAAAAAUUGCAACACACUCUUUUUGUUUUAAAUUGUGUUAACUCUUCAAACUUAUCUCUACCCACUUCCCCAAAUUCUCUUGAGAAUUUAAGCUGAAACAGUAUCCUUAAGCUACUAACAACACUGAGGGAAUAAAGAACACUUAAUUUGAAAACAUACUGGAACAAAACCAUGGUAGGGUAUAUUAAUUCUUUGCUCUUCUGACCUUUCUAUACUUAUCUCUU